rnacentral:rRNA from 1 species
GAGACCAAAGCAUGGGACUUACGGGCCAUGCGCCAUUUGAUGAACCCAUAUGGGAUUAGCUAGUWGGUGGGGUAAAGGCUCACCAAGGCGACGAUCUCUAGCUGGUCUGAGAGGAUGACCAGCCACACUGGAACUGAGACACGGUCCAGACUCCUACGGGAGGCAGCAGUGGGGAAUAUUGCACAAUGGGGGGAACCCUGAUGCAGCCAUGCCGCGUGUAUGAAGAAGGCCUUCGGGUUGUAAAGUACUUUCGGUGAUGAGGAAGGURAUGWAUCUAAUAGGUKYAUUAAUUGACGUUAAUCACAGAAGAAGCACCGGCUAACUCCGUGCCAGCAGCCGCGGUAAUACGGAGGGUGCGAGCGUUAAUCGGAAUGACUGGGCGUAAAGGGCAUGUAGGCGGAUAAUUAAGUUAGGUGUGAAAGCCCUGGGCUCAACCUAGGAAUUGCACUUAAAACUGGUUAACUAGAGUAUUGUAGAGGAAGGUAGAAUUCCACGUGUAGCGGUGAAAUGCGUAGAGAUGUGGAGGAAUACCGGUGGCGAAGGCGGCCUUCUGGACAGAUACUGACGCUGAGAUGCGAAAGCGUGGGGAGCAAACAGGAUUAGAUACCCUGGUAGUCCACGCUGUAAACGAUGUCGAUUUGGAGUUUGUUGCCUAGAGUGAUGGGCUCCGAAGCUAACGCGAUAAAUCGACCGCCUGGGGAGUACGGCCGCAAGGUUAAAACUCAAAUGAAUUGACGGGGGCCCGCACAAGCGGUGGAGCAUGUGGUUUAAUUCGAUGCAACGCGAAGAACCUUACCUGGUCUUGACAUCCACAGAAUCUUGUAGAGAUACGAGAGUGCCUUCGGGAACUGUGAGACAGGUGCUGCAUGGCUGUCGUCAGCUCGUGUUGUGAAAUGUUGGGUUAAGUCCCGCAACGAGCGCAACCCUUAUCCUUUGUUGCCAUCGAUUMGGUCGGGAACUCAAAGGAGACUGCCGUUGAUAAAGCGGAGGAAGGUGGGGACGACGUCAAGUCAUCAUGGCCCUUACGACCAGGGCUACACACGUGCUACAAUGGCGUAUACAAAGGGAGGCGACCUCGCGAGAGUAAGCGGACCUCACAAAGUACGUCUAAGUCCGGAUUGGAGUCUGCAACUCGACUCCAUGAAGUCGGAAUCGCUAGUAAUCGUGAAUCAGAAUGUCACGGUGAAUACGUUCCCGGGCCUUGUACACACCGCCCGUCACACCAUGAGAGUGGGU